rnacentral:tRNA from 1 species
GGGUGUAUAGCUCAGUGGUAGAGUGUGUGCUUAGCAUGCGCAAGGUCCUAGGUUCAAUCCUCAGUACCUCCA